rnacentral:rRNA from 2 species
AUACCUACGGGGGGCAGCAGUGGGGAAUAUUGCACAAUGGGGGAAACCCUGAUGCAGCGACGCCGCGUGAGUGAAGAAGUAAUUCGUUAUGUAAAGCUCUAUCAGCAGGGAAGAAAAUGACGGUACCUGAGUAAGAAGCCCCGGCUAACUACGUGCCAGCAGCCGCGGUAAUACGUAGGGGGCAAGCGUUAUCCGGAUUUACUGGGUGUAAAGGGAGCGUAGACGGCAUAGCAAGUCUGAAGUGAAAGGCUGGGGCUCAACCCCGGGACUGCUUUGGAAACUGUUAGGCUGGAGUGCAGGAGAGGUAAGUGGAAUUCCUAGUGUAGCGGUGAAAUGCGUAGAUAUUAGGAGGAACACCAGUGGCGAAGGCGGCUUACUGGACUGUAACUGACGUUGAGGCUCGAAAGCGUGGGGAGCAAACAGGAUUAGAUACCCUUGUAGUCGA